UGGCUCAGGACGAACGCUGGCGGCGUGCCUAAUACAUGCAAGUCGAGCGAGCUGAACCAACAGAUUCACUUCGGUGAUGACGUUGGGAACGCGAGCGGCGGAUGGGUGAGUAACACGUGGGGAACCUGCCCCAUAGUCUGGGAUACCACUUGGAAACAGGUGCUAAUACCGGAUAAGAAAGCAGAUCGCAUGAUCAGCUUAUAAAAGGCGGCGUAAGCUGUCGCUAUGGGAUGGCCCCGCGGUGCAUUAGCUAGUUGGUAGGGUAACGGCCUACCAAGGCAAUGAUGCAUAGCCGAGUUGAGAGACUGAUCGGCCACAUUGGGACUGAGACACGGCCCAA
rnacentral:rRNA from 1 species